rnacentral:rRNA from 1 species
GACAGAGGUGCCAAGCGUUAGGCGGAAUCACUGGGCUUAAAGCGUGUGUAGGCGGAUGUCUAAGUACCUUGUGAAAUCCCACGGCUCAACCGUGGAACUGCUUGGUAUACUGGAUGUCUUGAGCCAUCUAGGGGCUACCGGAACAAAUGGUGGAGCGGUGAAAUGCGUAGAUAUCAUUUGGAACGCCAAUGGUGAAAACAGUCUGCUGGGGGCGCACCGACGCUGAGACACGAAAGCCAGGGGAGCGAACGGG